rnacentral:rRNA from 1 species
UGCCAGCCGCCGCGGUAAGACGGAGGGUGCUAGCGUUGUUCGGAAUUACUGGGCGUAAAGGGCGCGUAGGCGGCCAAUCAAGUCGGAUGUGAAAGCCCGGGGCUCAACCUCGGAACGGCAUUCGAAACUGGUUGGCUUGAGGUCGAGAGAGGAAAGUGGAAUACCCAGUGUAGAGGUGAAAUUCGUAGAUAUUGGGUGGAACACCGGUGGCGAAAGCGGCUUUCUGGCUCGAUUCUGACGCUGAGGCGCGAAAGCGUGGGGAGCAAACAGGAUUAGAUA